rfam:Paenibacillus sp. FSL R5-0912, complete genome.
AACUUUGCAAUGACGAAGAGAGUACGCAUAACGAAUACUCCAGAGAGCUGAUGGCCGGUGCGAAUCAGUGUAGGGAUUAUGCCGAAGUGGGCUUCUGAGCAUCCAAACCGAACCUUCAGGAAGUAGGCUUUGGCGAAGGUCUCAUCGUUACAAGAGACGCGUAUUCAGGGCAUAUAGCGAUGUCACGAUACGUUUAAGCGGGUCCGGAUCACAAUCCGGGCUAAUUAAGGUGGUACCACGGGGUUCUCUCGUCCUUUUC